GAAAGAACAACAGGCUUUAUUAAUACUAUUUUGAUGACCAGGAGGUUAUAGCCCUGAACGAUCGUCCCAGUGGCACCUUUGAUACAUUUCCUCUCUGUCCUGAUUUUGUUACUCCUUGUGUACUCUUUAACACUGGAUUUUGGUUCAGAAGCUCAGCUGGUGACUGGAGAAGAAUCUUAACAAAGAAAGAUUUUAAUUUCUUAAGGUCAUUCCUCAUGAGAAAACUAUUAAAAGGGAGACUUUGGUAUUUUGGAAGUUCUUUUGAGGUUCAGGAAUUCACAAGGGAAAUUGGAUACAUUUCUCUUAAGUUGCCAACCAAUUGCCACACAAAGGACAGACAUCAGUUUAGUUGAAGCAGGAGAGUUCCCUGAGGAAGAGACCCAACACAACAUGUGACAGAUUGAACUGACCCUUGUGACCAAGAAAAAUGCUUGUAAAAAUCGUCAAUACUGAAAAAUUGUCUAACUAAUUAACCAACUAUAUAUGCACACAUGUAUUUAUGUGUACCCACACAUUCCAUUCUGUUUUAAUAAUUCUUAACUUUCUGUUACUUUGCUCUGAUUCACUUAUUGCUAAACAGAGUUGGAAAAAUCAUGAAACUAAGUCCUCUAAAAAUUUGACACAUAAUCUCAACUGUGGUCAAAUAAAAGUAAAGUAACCUUUUAUAUUUCUUUAAUC
rnacentral:lncRNA from 1 species